GUUCUAUGAAAGAGUAUUCUAAAUUUCAAUCACCCUUUUGUAAACUCAACCCCUUUCUAGCUCAGAACUACCCUUAUUUUUGCUUCAAGUUUAAGUACUUAAAUAAUUCUGGUUCACGAACUUCUUAUUUCAACAGUUGGAAACAGUGACAAGCAUUAAGUUACAUUCUACCACAAUUCAGAGUUGAACUCGUCUUAUAAGUAAAUACAAUAAAGGAGUUGCUUUCAACUCAAGCAACAAAACAGUGAUCAUUUCAAGUAUGAGAAACUGCAAAGUGCCCCUACACGUAAAACUGUUUGCAGAAAGAGGUUUUGUUGUUGUUUUCAAACUCUUCCUAAGUCUCACUCUGACAGUUCUUGAAUAGCAGAGCAAACCCUGGGUUCAAAUCCCAGCUCACUGGUACAAGCUACUUAACCUCUUUGCGUCUCGGUUUCCUCGUCUAAAAAAUGAACACAAUGACCAGGGUUAUCACAAGGAUUAAAUGACGUCACACAGGUGAAUGUGCCAAAUUUGCACUGUGUACUCAAAAGAGUUUGGUAACCAUUUGAAAGAGAAAAACUACAGCACCCUGACCAAAUUAAAACAUCCGAGAGCAUGAACGAGUAUACAAGUCACAAAACGCCAGACCCUUAACACACAGCACAUUUUCUUUCCUGACGCAAGCUAUUUUUUUUUCCUGCCAAAUCUUUCCACUAGGGAGUCUGGAAAGAGGAGGGGGAAAAAAGGUUACAUUCAAUCCGGCAGAAAGUUUUCAGAAACUGAAGUGCAGAAUCACAACAGACAUGGCAGCGGAGGCCGCGCAGGACAACAGCGGAGAGAGACAAAUCGCGAGUAUCAGCCUCGCAGCUCCUGGGCGAAAGAGCCUGAAAAGCAGAGAGCCUGCGUAUGGAGUGCCCCGGAGCCCUGCUAAACAGAAUCCCAGAACACCGCUCUGGAAGAGAUGGUUCACCAUCACCAGCAAUCCCCUCCCCGAUCUGCUGAGCACUUUGCAUUUCUAGACCACAGUGCAGAGACUUGGGAUCAAGGCCUCACAGGUUAAGGAGGCUCGUGGAGCUGAAGAGGGCUCUGUUUUUACCACUGAGAAGAGAACCAUAAAAAGAAGUCCUCGUUUCCUAAAAGUUCAGGCAUGAUCAUACAGGUUUAAUUAGGAACAGCAAGCUGUUUACAGCAAAUUAUAAACUGUAUAAAGCAGACCUCAGUGGACACGCCCAAAGGAUGUCCCAUGAACCCUUACUUCUCCAAGUCCGGAUUCAGCAGAUCUGGCUUGGUGAGGUAGGGUGCUGCAAUACCAGCCAAAGGAGUAUCCCAGAAGUCCCUUUCCAGAAUGUUCCAUGACCAGAGGAGAUGGUCAAAUCGUUCACGGAAAAAUGUCUGUUUUUCUUUCCUUUUGUCCUUAAAACUUGAAGCCGAUCCACUAUUUUCUUGACUGCUACUGCACCCACCCAGUAGAGAGACACUUCAGAACAGGCUACGCAGCACGAGACUUCGGAGUCAGAAUUCUGGCUGAACUUCCGAAUUUUUGACCUUGUAUGGACUUUGUCAACCUCUCUAAAUCCCAGUCUCUUCACCUAUAAAAUGGGGAUAAAUAAAUAAUAUCAAAUCUAAUGAGACA
rnacentral:lncRNA from 1 species